UACGUAGGGCGCAAGCGUUAUCCGGAAUAUUGGGCGUAAAGAGCUCGUAGGCGGUUUGUCGCGUCUGCCGUGAAAGUCCGGGGCUCAACUCCGGAUCUGCGGUGGGUACGGGCAGACUAGAGUGUGGUAGGGGAGAGUGGAAUUCCCGGUGUAGCGGUGAAAUGCGCAGAUAUCGGGAAGAACACCCGUGGCGAAGGCGGCUCUCUGGGACGGUACUGACGCUGAGACGCGAAAGCGUGGGGAGCGAACAGG
rnacentral:rRNA from 1 species